rnacentral:rRNA from 1 species
UACGGGGGGGGCAAGCGUUGUUCGGAAUUACUGGGCGUAAAGGGCUCGUAGGUGGCCAACUAAGUCAGACGUGAAAUCCCUCGGCUUAACCGGGGAACUGCGUCUGAUACUGGAUGGCUUGAGGUUGGGAGAGGGAUGCGGAAUUCCAGGUGUAGCGGUGAAAUGCGUAGAUAUCUGGAGGAACACCGGUGGCGAAGGCGGCCUUCUGGACGGUGACUGACGCUGAGGCGCGAAAGCGUGGGGAGCAAACGGG